UUCUGCGUGAGACUUAAUGGGGAGCAACAAGCAGACAAAGAAGAUUCCACUCCUGCAAGAAAAAGAAGUUACCCCAGAGCCUCUUUUUUGUCAACUAUUGUACUGCCUGACAGAAUUCCACCGUCUCCCACGCCUGGCUAUAGACGCAGUCCUGAGGCACCCUAAUGACUCGCGUGAAUUUACCGAAUGGACGCUCCAAAUUAGUAGCAAAUGUCACAUCUCUUAAAACUGAGGCCAUGCUCCCAACAUAACCUCCAGGUAGAUUCAGCUGCCUCCAGAAUCAUUAAAUCCGAGAAGUCAACAGCAAUUUCUAUUUUGUGAGUUUGCAGUUCUCAAACAUAUGUCAACACCAAAAUCUUGACUCUGAGAAGCCAGUAUCACAUGCCCAUUCUGCAGAUGACAGCUGGAAGACUCGGAAUGUAAGUCAUCCAUCCGAUGAGCUGGUCCACCAGGCACGUCGUGUCCAGAGGCCCCGCCCUACGCCUCUGUGCUCUGCGGCGUCCUCCAGCCCCGAGAGAAGCUGCCUUUCAGUCCUCCUGUCUGUCUGUUCCUUCACUCCAUUUCCCAGGUUAAGGUGCUGGCUUUUCAAGGUCAUGAAACCAUGAUACAGAACGUUUUCGAUCCCUAAAGAGAUCUGCAAUUUCUUUCCAAAGAUGAAGGUGUUAACCUUGGAGUCUUGGACAAAUUUCAAAUCCAGUAAUUGCAUUCUGCCUGUUUUGACUUUACUCAGAAGUAAGAUCAUUGAAAAACAUCCUAGAACAAAAGGUUUCUGUUGCGAGGACCUAAGCCAGUAGUUUCGAUCCUGGGAGCAGUUUGUCCGAAUGGUAAGCCGAGUGGACACGCACACAAUUUAAAGAAUUCCUGUUGGCUCCCUCUCCUAUUCCUUCUCAACGGUGCCGUGUGCUUCUCUUUGGGAGUACCUUUGAUAAUGAUCAUUAAUUCUGUAAUAUCCCCAGUAUCCAGCCCAGGGCCAGCAUAUAGCAAACUUUCAAUGAAUAUUUGCUAAACGGAUUAAUGCAGAACGCCCACAGGUCCUGUAGAACACGGUUUGAAAGCGUUGCUCUAACUCAACCCCUUAAUUGUACAGACAGGAAAACUGAUGUCAGAAGAAAACUUCCAGAAGUUACGAGGCUACAAAGCAGCAGAGCUGGACUUGAAGCCCGGACAUCUUAGCAUCAAAGACUCUGGCCUCAGCCCCGUUGGGAUGGACGGCUGAGCAGCUCAGUGCUGCGCUGUCCACGCAGGCCCCGUAGCCAUAGUUCAGAAAGAAGUUGUUUAAAAAGGCAGAUUUCUGGAUCCCAGUGGUGGAAAUCUCUGGGAGUGGGGCCCGGGAGUCUCUGUUUAGAAUGAGCCGCCUGGAGUCGUCCUUGUGCACACUGCAGUUUGAGAAGUCGACUAUACGGGUGCCUUGUCUGGCUCCAGGAGGUAAAUGGAGACUCAGUCAACUGUGAUCAUUGUCCUGCUUGGGGCCAGAUUGAAGAAAUGCUGAGCUGGGGGGCUACCUACAGAGUCGCGUUCUUGAAUGAAUGAUUCAUUCCAUAAUCAUCUACUGACAAUCCUCACGUCCUCAGGGCUCCAUCCACGGCCUUCUUUUCACUUUCCACAGCAUCCCCAGGUGAUCUCAACCACACGUGGUCUCUGUCACCACCAGUUGCCUGUGCAUCUUGUCCAGCAACCCAAACAUGGCAGCAAACUCUUUGUCACUCCUCCCAUCGAGAGGCAGGGUCUAGACCCCCUCCCUAGUGUCUGGACAGGCUUGUGACAGCUCGAAGAACAGAGCACCAGGAAGUGAUGCUCUGUUAUUUCAGAAGGUUGGUCAUAAAAGGUAUGCGGCUUCUACCUGGCUCUCCGGGAUGCUCCCUCGCAGAAUCUAGCCACCAUGCUUCCAGAAGCCCAAGCCACAUAGAUGAGCUUUGAGUCCAGCCUCCAAGUCAGUGCACCCCUGAUCCAGACAUAUGAGUAGAGAAGCUUCUGGAUGACUCCAGCCGUCAGCCUUUCAAGUUACCCUCAGCUCCAGGUCUUCUCACACAUGGUGGGGUAGGGACAAGCUCCCCACUGCUGGCUUCCAUCCAAAUUCCUGACCCACUGAAGCUGUGAUCCUAAUGAAAUACCUGUUGUUUUAUGCCUCGAAUUUGGGAGUGGUUUGUUAUGCGGGAUUAGUAACCAGAACAAGCAGCAACUGAACAUCCCACAAAAACCUGAACUGUGACAUCUGAAAUGGCAUUCAUCGCCUUUCUCCUUCCUGACAGGUGCCAUAUUGCGGAGAUGGUCCCCAUCCACACCGUGUCGGUUAGGGAUGCAAAUAACAAAAGCCUCACUAAGCCACCGGAAAGAAGUGGGGCUGGGCAAGGUCACAUAUUUUCUUUCUCAAAACAAGAAACUCGAGGUGAGAUGCUGCUGGCAUUGACUCCGCUGCUCAACGAUGCUUCGAGGAUCAAAGACCUAUUUUUUAAUCCCUGCAUUCUCAUGCUGGGCUUGACAUCAAAGAUGGUUGCUGCCUCUCCAGACAUUGUGUGUGUGUGUGUGUUUAAUACGUUAUUCUGUUGCAAGAAAGAAGUAGGAGAUGGUUAUUGGGACAGAGUGUACCUAACAACGUCACUGCCAGAUUCGUUGUCAACCCAGAAAUAGAAGUGCUGCCUUCUUCCCAGGGCCCCGACCAAUCAGGGAGGUGUCCUCUCUAUUUACUCUCCUCUGAAACUCACCUGCCUCUGCCCAGCCUCUGCUCCUUCCUCAGCUCAGACCCCUGACAUCUCUGGGAUUACUGGAACGAUAGGUCUCAUUGCCUCCAGUCUGGACGCCCCCUCCCCGCCUCCACAAGGCUGCGCUGAGUGGUCUGGCCAGCAUGCAAAUGUUGACUUGUCCCCAUUGCCACCACCCACCACACAAAAUCUCCAAGCGCUUCCAAGCACUCUCAGAGUGAAUCCCAGACUCCCCCCACCCCCUGGCUCACAGGCUCUGUGUGACCUGACAAGCCCCUGCGUCCUGCAUACCACGUGCUCUGCUCUCCCACCCAGUUCCCCUGAGAUCCCAGGAGGCCUGACCCCAGAAGCUGCCUCCUAGUGAUCUCACUACACCCACCUGUUAGCCCGUCACGGGACUGCCCAAAUGUGGUGCAACGCCCAGCAAUCUUCGGUCCCCUGCCCAAUCAUGGUUCCCAGAGGGUGGGCACUGUGUCAUCGACCUUCACGUCCCCAGCCC
ensembl:lncRNA